UACGUAGGGUGCGAGCGUUGUCCGGAAUUAUUGGGCGUAAAGAGCGCGCAGGUGGUUGAUUAAGUCUGAUGUGAAAGCCCACGGCUUAACCGUGGAGGGUCAUUGGAAACUGGUCGACUUGAGUGCAGAAGAGGGAAGUGGAAUUCCAUGUGUAGCGGUGAAAUGCGUAGAGAUAUGGAGGAACACCAGCGGCGAAGGCGGCUUCCUGGUCUGUAACUGACACUGAGGCGCGAAAGCGUGGGGGGCAAACAGGAUUAGAUACU
rnacentral:rRNA from 1 species